CAUUAGUGCGGGUAUGAUCACAUCCGUUACUACAUGCAAUGCAAUCGUAUAUAUUUUUUUUGAAGACUUUAUGAUCCAUUUGCCGUGGGUCUCACCAGCUAUAUAGGAAUACCCUAUCUUGUUUAUAAGAGCUUUGAUACAUGCAAAAUAUUUGAAAACAAUGUCCGAACGUAUAAUCUUCGUCCCGUAAUAUAGCAAAGAUCACUAAAAGGCUAGAAAAAGUACAUUAAGAUCAAAAUUUUGAG
rnacentral:sRNA from 1 species